GAUUAUGGCUCAGGAUGAACGCUAGCGACAGGCUUAACACAUGCAAGUCGAGGGGCAGCACGGGAGUAGCAAUACAACUGGUGGCGACCGGCGCACGGGUGAGUAACGCGUAUGCAACCUACCUAUCAGAGGGGAAUAACCCGGCGAAAGUCGGACUAAUACCGCAUAAAACAGGGGCACCGCAUGGUGAUAUUUGUUAAAGAGAUUCGCUGAUAGAUGGGCAUGCGUUCCAUUAGGUAGUUGGUGAGGUAACGGCUCACCAAGCCGACGAUGGAUAGGGGAACUGAGAGGUUGGUCCCCCACACUGGUACUGAGACACGGACCAGACUCCUACGGGAGGCAGCAGUGAGGAAUAUUGGUCAAUGGGCGGGAGCCUGAACCAGCCAAGUCCGCGUGAAGGAAGAAGGAUCUAUGGUUCGUAAACUUCUUUUGCAGGGGAAUAAAGUGCAGGACGUGUCCUGUUUUGUAUGUACCCUGAGAAUAAGGAUCGGCUAACUCCGUGCCAGCCGCCGC
rnacentral:rRNA from 1 species